rnacentral:rRNA from 1 species
AGGGUUUGAUCAUGGCUCAGGACGAACGCUGGCGGCGUGCCUAAUACAUGCAAGUGGAACGCAUGAUUGAUACCGGAGCUUGCUCCACCAUUAAUCAUGAGUCGCGAACGGGUGAGUAACGCGUAGGUAACCUACCUCAUAGCGGGGGAUAACUAUUGGAAACGAUAGCUAAUACCGCAUAACAGUAUUUAUCGCAUGGUAAAUGCUUGAAAGGAGCAACUGCUUCACUAUGAGAUGGACCUGCGUUGUAUUAGCUAGUUGGUGGGGUAACGGCUCACCAAGGCAUCGAUACAUAGCCGACCUGAGAGGGUGAUCGGCCACACUGGGACUGAGACACGGCCCAGACUCCUACGGGAGGCAGCAGUAGGGAAUCUUCGGCAAUGGGGGGGAACCCUGACCGAGCAACGCCGCGUGAGUGAAGAAGGUUUUCGGAUCGUAAAGCUCUGUUGUAAGAGAAGAACGUGUGUGAGAGUGGAAAGUUCACACAGUGACGGUAACUUACCAGAAAGGGACGGCUAACUACGUGCCAGCCGCCGCGGUAAUAC